UUUUUUGGAAUAGGAUACAAAUUCCUUUAAUGUGCAUCACUGUUAUUUUUUUAAUCAAUAAGGGCCAAUAUCAAACAAUAUGCACAACAGACAUCUUACACAUAGACAUGUAACACUGGAACAUGACAUACAACACAAUGACCCACCUGGACAGGGAGAAAAUGGCUGUCCAUUACUAAAUACACAGACUAACAAGGAGAACAGAAACAGGUGGAUAGCUAAACACAGGUGAAAGGAAUAAACUGAUUAACUGAAACGAGAACAGGAAAGCCCAAACAAGGACAUGACAAACCAAGGACACACAGAAAAGCGGAACAGUCCUGUCCAGCUGGGACUGUUACAGCACCACCCCCGUCAGGCGCGGCUCCAGCUGCAAGACAAAAGAAACAAAGGGUGGUGGCUAUGCCUCGGGACGGGGACCGAGGACAGGACCAGGCGGAGGCUCCGCUGUGGUGGACCAACCAGGAGCCGGCGGAGGAGCAGGGAGAACAGGAGCAGGGAGAGCAGGAGCCGGCGGAGGAUCAGGAGCCGGUGGAGGGUCAGGAGCCGGCGGAGGAUCAGGAGCCGGCGGAGGAUCAGGAGCCGGCGGAGGGUCAGGAGCAGGGAGAGCGUGGAGAGGACCAGGAGCCAGGUGAGCGUGGAGAGCAGGCGACAGCCCCGCCUCGGGAGCAGAAUGAGGCAGCGGCCUUGCCUCGGGAGCAGAAUGAGUCAGCGGCCCCGCCUUGGGGGGGUGGCAGCAGGAAUCCCUCCUCUGGUGGCAGCUCCUAAAAAAUGGCCAUCUGAAUGGAGUUCCCCUACCGCCCACCUCUGCUGCCUCCAUCAUAUUGGGUCGGUCAUUCUGUCACGGUUUACGGAUGGAGACUGAGCAUACCUGUCAAGUUUUGGAUUUGAAAAUAAGGGACAUUUUCCGCCGCCCACCGCGAGCUGUCCCACCACCCCAACCAAGCUCCAGUAUCCCUUAUAUUUUAAGACAGGUGUACAAGAAAGCUAAAAUCACCACUUGAUGCAGAAUGCUGAAAACAUUUACAAUUUAUAACAUUGCUUGUCUUUACAUUUAAUUUUCAUUCCACACAUUCUUUUCAUUUCAUAUUGCUUUUCUUUUACAGUGUUUCUUUUCAUUUCACAUAACUUUUCUUUACUCUUUUAGUGAGUUAUUGUACAAAUUUGUUGCAGACUUUGCAUUCUUUAAGAACGUUUUGGAAGGAGUGUAUUUGUGGGCUGGGCCAGAGUGGUUAAUUUUACAUGAGAGUAGAGCGCAAACAGUUCUGUUGUCUAAGGUCAUCCUAUUCUCUGUAACAAUCUUUCGUACCAUGCUAAACACCCUUUCUGAUCUUGCAUUGCUAUGUGCUAUGUGCCUCUAGCCCACGCUUGUGCUUUGUGAAUUUCUGGUGCUGACAUACAUCAUUCCUUCCCCCGUGUGAGAUGCUAAAGUCGCAGUUACAAAACUUACAAAACGCCUGACUGUCCCCCACACUGCUCCUCUUCCGAAAAGUAAAUUCGCUGUCCCAUUGAUCGCGGUAUUUACAUGAGGGUUUUGGUUUUUUGGCAGGAGCGCCAUCCGUCUCUGUACUAGCGUCCAUCAUCCGCUGUACCUCGUCAUUUUUCCCGCGUUGUCACUCGUCAUCUGACCUCACACACUAACCACGCGACAACUGCCACCUACAGUACCUGUAGUAGAC
ensembl:lncRNA